UACGGAGGGUGCGAGCGUUGUCCGGAUUUAUUGGGUUUAAAGGGUGCGUAGGCGGGCGUUUAAGUCAGCGGUGAAAUCCCACGGCUCAACCGUGGAACUGCCAUUGAUACUGGGCGCCUUGAGUACCGUUGGGGUAGGCGGAAUUUAUGGUGUAGCGGUGAAAUGCAUAGAUACCAUAAGGAACCCCGAUAGCGUAGGCGGCUUACUGAGCGGUAACUGACGCUGAGGCACGAAAGCAUGGGUAGCGAACAGG
rnacentral:rRNA from 1 species